UACGAAGGGGGCUAGCGUUGUUCGGAAUUACUGGGCGUAAAGCGCACGUAGGCGGAUAUUUAAGUCAGGGGUGAAAUCCCAGAGCUCAACUCUGGAACUGCCUUUGAUACUGGGUAUCUUGAGUAUGGAAGAGGUUAGUGGAAUUGCGAGUGUAGAGGUGAAAUUCGUAGAUAUUCGCAGGAACACCAGUGGCGAAGGCGGCUAACCUGGUCCAUAACUGACGCUGAGGUGCGAAGCGUGGGGAGCAAACAGG
rnacentral:rRNA from 1 species